rnacentral:rRNA from 1 species
UGGGGAAUAUUGCACAAUGGGCGCAAGCCUGAUGCAGCCAUGCCGCGUGUAUGAAGAAGGCCUUCGGGUUGUAAAGUACUUUCAGUCGGGAGGAAGGUGUCAAGGUUAAUAACCUUGGCGAUUGACGUUACCCGCAGAAGAAGCACCGGCUAACUCCGUGCCAGCAGCCGCGGUAAUACGGAGGGUGCAAGCGUUAAUCGGAAUUACUGGGCGUAAAGCGCACGCAGGCGGUUGAUUGAGUCAGAUGUGAAAUCCCCGGGCUUAACCCGGGAAUUGCAUCUGAUACUGGUCAGCUAGAGUCUUGUAGAGGGGGGUAGAAUUCCAUGUGUAGCGGUGAAAUGCGUAGAGAUGUGGAGGAAUACCGGUGGCGAAGGCGGCCCCCUGGACAAAGACUGACGCUCAGGUGCGAAAGCGUGGGGAGCAAACAGG